GACAGAGGGUGCAAACGUUGUUCGGAAUCACUGGGCGUAAAGGGCGCGUAGGCGGCUUUGUAAGUCGGGGGUGAAAGCCUGUGGCUCAACCACAGAAUUGCCUUCGAUACUGCAUGGCUUGAGACCGGAAGAGGUUAGUGGAACUGCGAGUGUAGAGGUGAAAUUCGUAGAUAUUCGCAAGAACACCAGUGGCGAAGGCGGCUGACUGGUCCGGUUCUGACGCUGAGGCGCGAAAGCGUGGGGAGCAAACAGG
rnacentral:rRNA from 1 species